rnacentral:rRNA from 1 species
GAUGAACGCUGGCGGCGUGCCUAACACAUGCAAGUCGAGCGAACGGACGAGAAGCUUGCUUCUCUGAUGUUAGCGGCGGACGGGUGAGUAACACGUGGAUAACCUACCUAUAAGACUGGGAUAACUUCGGGAAACCGGAGCUAAUACCGGAUAAUAUUUUGAACCGCAUGGUUCAAAAGUGAAAGACGGUCUUGCUGUCACUUAUAGAUGGAUCCGCGCUGCAUUAGCUAGUUGGUAAGGUAACGGCUUACCAAGGCAACGAUGCAUAGCCGACCUGAGAGGGUGAUCGGCCACACUGGAACUGAGACACGGUCCAGACUCCUACGGGAGGCAGCAGUAGGGAAUCUUCCGCAAUGGGCGAAAGCCUGACGGAGCAACGCCGCGUGAGUGAUGAAGGUCUUCGGAUCGUAAAACUCUGUUAUUAGGGAAGAACAUAUGUGUAAGUAACUGUGCACAUCUUGACGGUACCUAAUCAGAAAGCCACGGCUAACUACGUGCCAGCAGCCGCGGUAAUACGUAGGUGGCAAGCGUUAUCCGGAAUUAUUGGGCGUAAAGCGCGCGUAGGCGGUUUUUUAAGUCUGAUGUGAAAGCCCACGGCUCAACCGUGGAGGGUCAUUGGAAACUGGAAAACUUGAGUGCAGAAGAGGAAAGUGGAAUUCCAUGUGUAGCGGUGAAAUGCGCAGAGAUAUGGAGGAACACCAGUGGCGAAGGCGACUUUCUGGUCUGUAACUGACGCUGAUGUGCGAAAGCGUGGGGAUCAAACAGGAUUAGAUACCCUGGUAGUCCACGCCGUAAACGAUGAGUGCUAAGUGUUAGGGGGUUUCCGCCCCUUAGUGCUGCAGCUAACGCAUUAAGCACUCCGCCUGGGGAGUACGACCGCAAGGUUGAAACUCAAAGGAAUUGACGGGGACCCGCACAAGCGGUGGAGCAUGUGGUUUAAUUCGAAGCAACGCGAAGAACCUUACCAAAUCUUGACAUCCUUUGACAACUCUAGAGAUAGAGCCUUCCCCUUCGGGGGACAAAGUGACAGGUGGUGCAUGGUUGUCGUCAGCUCGUGUCGUGAGAUGUUGGGUUAAGUCCCGCAACGAGCGCAACCCUUAAGCUUAGUUGCCAUCAUUAAGUUGGGCACUCUAAGUUGACUGCCGGUGACAAACCGGAGGAAGGUGGGGAUGACGUCAAAUCAUCAUGCCCCUUAUGAUUUGGGCUACACACGUGCUACAAUGGACAAUACAAAGGGCAGCGAAACCGCGAGGUCAAGCAAAUCCCAUAAAGUUGUUCUCAGUUCGGAUUGUAGUCUGCAACUCGACUACAUGAAGCUGGAAUCGCUAGUAAUCGUAGAUCAGCAUGCUACGGUGAAUACGUUCCCGGGUCU